AAAAUCCCAUGGAUGGAGGAGCCUGGUAGGCUGCAGUCCAUGGGGUGUGGAAGAGUGGGACACAACUGAAGCGACUUAGCAGCAGCAGCAGCAGUGGUAUUUGCAUAUAAGGGUAGAUAUAUUCUAAAGUAUACAGAUCAGUUUUCACAUUUUUUUCCUCUAGAAUUCUUUAAAAAUAUGAUAGAAAAACUGAAUAUAGAUCAGAAACUUCAUUGCAUUAAAACCAGGAAGAAUUAAUAGGAAAGAGUUUCCUUUCUUAAUCAAAAAGCUUUCAGUCCUGUUAGAAGCACUUGAAAACCCUUACCAUCAAGAAAGGCAUGAAUCUCAAGUGUUCCUGGAGGAUAUUUUAGCACUCCAAAGGAGAAAGUGAGCCUGACUACAUUUUUAUGUUCCCUCUGUCCUUAGUCUCCAGGGGCUUGAGGAUGGCUGCUGAUGAACCAGCUUCACUGCUUACCCUUGGAUCAAUCAUGUUUGCUUAAAGCCAGGGCACCAAAGAAAGCCGAGGAAGACUGUACUCAAGUCAUCUGUUUUUGAUUACCUUUCAUUCUAUUCCAGCCUCUCCAGAGCUGCUUUCCCUGGAAUACGCCAGAAACAUUCCCAUCUCACAGACUUUGCAUGGGCCAUUCUACAGGAAACGUGCUACAUCCAGAAAUCCUCAUGGUUCAGUCCCUCUCUGCCUCUAGGUCUUCACUCAAAUGUCUCGAGUGGCCCUAAGGAGCAGAUGGGAAGCUUCAGACAUCUGACCCCAGUCCACAUUCCUGCAUUCCCAGGUGUGAGGGCAACUCCUGGAAGCCCUCAGCAGGCCCCUCCAGCCCUGGCCCAGCUGGAGUGAGGGUGGCAGAGGAGGCUGCUGUGUCUUCGAUAGAUUUUGACCAGCCACCAAGGUUUCCAGCAAAGUAAGGAAGGAUGCUAGCAGAAAUCUGGUUAAGGAGAAAAUUAGUGUGCACGUUUCAUUGAACUUACGGUACAUGAACUGCUGCCAGUAGCAUGGAUGAGAAAUCCGGCACAUGCGAUUUCGCUUCUGACAUACUGUGGAGAAGGUGGGACUGAUGGCAGAAUAACCGACCUCACUGCCACCACGAACGACAAAAAAAUAUCACCAGACUGCUAGGCAAGUCAGCGCUUCCUUUCCCCAUAAGACCCUGGAGCCAAGGCUGCAGCCUAACAUUCCCAGGAUGUCAGGUGUGCCUUCAUGUGGGCUGAGGGGAUCCAGGAAGUAAGCCAACACCUCUAGAUCCAACUCAACGUCUCAACAGGACUGCUGAACCAUAUUGUUCCUUCAGCACAAAGCAUUGUUUUUUUUGGUGAAUCACAAGGGUCACAAGAUCAGUUCCUGAGUGUCUAGUGCUUACUGUUACUCUGAACUUUGCUUCUACUGUGUUUUCAUCAAUAAUCAGAGAUAUAUGUUCAGCUAAGAGCACAUUUCUAGCCUGCCCAUUUACUCCAUCUCUUUCAGGAUGCUUUGAAGAUAGUGUUGAAAUUUGCCAUCUUAUAAUCAUUCACAUGGCAACAAGCAAUGAGAUGACAAACAAACAUAGGGUUAGGACUUCACUGCAGGAAUCAAGCAGAUGGAAAAAGGCUGUGAGGGAGAAAACCUUUAUUUAAACAUAAAUAUCUUUUAAGAAGAGAAUGAAGAAAUGAGAAACUGACUAAAAGCAGCUUAGAAAGACAUGAGUUUGUCUUUUACUAAGCUGCUCAGUGAGUGCUCAGAUGCCAGCAAUGAUGCAAGAAGCAGAUUUAGUGUUAAUAAAAGAAAACAAGGUCUUGAGGCACCUUUUAUAAAGGGUAAAUGGAAGCAAGUAACUUUGUUAUGUUAAACCUGUUUGCAUCACUGAACCAAGCAUAGAUGGAAACCUAACUGGAUCCAAAGAAAAUAAGGAAGACUCUGAAAGGAUUCAGAAGUGAGCACCAAGACAUAGCAAAAGCAAACAAACCAAAGCUAAAAUGUGCGGAGGAGGUCAAAGUCACAGUUGAAAACAAGGAAGUAGUAUCUGAAUUUGUUUCUAUUUCAGGGUGAGUGGCCAUGUAAUUUAUUCAAACUGGAAGACUUGGGCAUGGUUAAUAAUUAUGAUGGGGCAACCAGGACUGUCCCAGGAAAACCAGAACAUGUGGUAAUCCUGUUUUAGAGGCUACUGUUUCAAUGAUUAUGAAAAACGGUAUGCACUGAAACGUGAGCGUAGACAAAGUGUCGGCGUUAUUGAGCAUCUCCUGAAUGCUAGCUAGUGCUAUGUUCUGCGACUAUAGUGAUGAACAAAAUGGUCCUUAAAGAGCUUAUAAUAUGUUUAGUGUGGGCAUCAGCUUCAAAGGGUCACCUGAUAUACCUCUGAAAGUAGAUGAAAUUCAAAUGAUAUACAUUUAUUUAAAUUUGAUGACAUGCAAAAGCAUUGUAAAAGGUGCUGAGAUAAAAAAAAGUCAAGACAAGGCUGCUUUCUUAAGAGGAUUGUAAUCUAGUUAAGGGAAAAGACCCAUUUGUAAAAUUACUAUGUAAGACAAAUACCAAUUCAGUGUGGCUAUGGAGUAAGUGUCAUGAGAUAAUACAUAAUUAAUUGACAAGUUAAUCAUAAAAAAGUAAUUGUUAAAGGAGUUCCUAAAGUGAUCAUUUCCUUCAGUAGGAGAUGAUUGGCUUUAUGGAGAAGCGUUUGUCCCAGGUCUUAAAGAUCAGGUAGGACUGGGGUAGAUAGAGAAGAGAAGGAGAAAGAAAUCGAAUAUGAGAACUAAGCUUGGAGGUAGGAAUGUGUAGGGUGAUUUGAAGGCCCUUAAGGUUAAAGCGUCUCCCUGCAAUGUGGGAGGCCUGGGUUCGAUCUCUGGGUCAGGAAGAUACCCUGGAGAAGGAAAUGGCAACCCACUCCAGUAUUCUUGCCUGGA